rnacentral:rRNA from 1 species
CACGUAGGAGGCGAGCGUUGUCCGGAAUCAUUGGGCGUAAAGAGCGCGCAGGCGGCUUGGCAAGUCGGGUGUGAAAUCCCGGGGCUCAACCCCGUGACUGCAUUCGAUACUGUCAGGCUAGAGGUAGGUAGGGGAGAUCGGAAUUCCUGGUGUAGCGGUGAAAUGCGCGGAUAUCAGGAGGAACACCGGUGGCGAAGGCGGCUCGCUGGGCCGUUCCUGACGCUGAGACGCGAAAGCUAGGGGAGCGAACAGG